rnacentral:snRNA from 1 species
UUAAAUUUCCGUUAACAGA